UACGUAGGGGGCAAGCGUUGUCCGGAAUCAUUGGGCGUAAAGCGCGUGUAGGCGGCCAGAAAAGUCCGCUGUGAAAACUCGAGGCUCAACUUCGAGCUGUCGGUGGAAACUGUCUGGCUAGAGUCCGGAAGAGGAGAAUGGAAUUCCUGGUGUAGCGGUGAAAUGCGCAGAUAUCAGGAAGAACACCCGUGGCGAAGGCGGUUCUCUGGGACGGUACUGACGCUGAGACGCGAAAGCGUGGGGAGCGAACAGG
rnacentral:rRNA from 1 species